AUGGCUCAGGAUGAACGCUAGCUACAGGCUUAACACAUGCAAGUCGAGGGGCAUCAGGAUGUAGCAAUACAUUGCUGGCGACCGGCGCACGGGUGAGUAACACGUAUCCAACCUGCCUUUUACUCGGGGAUAGGCUUUCGAAAGAAAAGAUUAAUACCCGAUGGUAUAAUAUUUCCGCAUGGGAUUAUUAUUAAAGAAUUUCGGUAAAAGAUGGGAUGCGUUCCAUUAGGCAGUUGGCGGGGUAACGGCCCACCAAACCUUACGAUGGAUAGGGGUUCUGAGAGGAAGGUCCCCCACCAUUGGAACUGAGACACGGUCCAAACUACCUACGGGAGGGCAGCAGUGAGGAAUAUUGGUCAAUGGGCGAAAGCCUGAACCAGCCAAGUAGCGUGAAGGAUGACUGCCCUAUGGGUUGUAAACUUCUUUUAUAGGGGAAUAAAAUGAGCCACGUGUGGCUUUUUGUAUGUACCCUAUGAAUAAGGAUCGGCUAACUCCGUGCCAGCCGCCGC
rnacentral:rRNA from 1 species